ACUUUGAGCAGACUGCUACUCCACUCUGAGUGUGUCCAUCAAAGACCGAUGACUUCAUGCCGGGAUGAGAAAACUCAAUGCCAGUAGACUGCAGGCAGUGAUCCAGUGCUGUGCAGGAAGAGUGAUUCGCGAGCCAAACUAAAAACACUCUUUUUAGGAAAGAAGGCCUUUGAUGAGAACUUACAUAAUGGAGCUCAAAAGAUGGUCGUGUGAGGAGAAAAUAGCCAGCAUCCAGUUGAAUUACUGUCCCAGCUCAGUUCAAUGUGGACUGUGAUGCAGAAGUGAAUCACUGCCUCUCCGAACUGUAAAUGGGCAUUUGAGGAACUCAGUGGGGUGGCAGUGGAAGUGAAUGGUCACACAAUCCUGCUUGUUGUGUAUAGAAUGAAUGCCAUGAAUGUUGGACAACACUUAAGAAAAGUGGUGGAAAUGUAAGCAAGUUCAUUUAUUCAGGCACAGUCCUGACACACUGAUACUUGAUUAUUUCUGUUUGAUGCUUUCUCCACUCUACUGCAUUUCAACAGGAAAUGUGUUUUUUUUUUUUUUAACUCCACCACAAUUAUUUAAGUUUAGUUACUUUGCAUUAUAGAUUUCACAUACAAAGCAAAAGAUAAGCUUGCAAAAUAUGAUGUACCAUUACAGAUUUAGCUACUCAUUUACAUAUUAAUGCAUCAGUAAUCAUAAUCCAAUCAUAAAACCGAGUACACGACUCAAGGAGGCCAUUUUUCUGCAUUAUAAGGACUUUUAAUUUUCAUACAUUACAGACAUUUUUGCUAACAAUUAGAUUAUAUCAUUAUUAGAUAUAUUUAGUCCAUAGCAUAGAAAAGAAAUGUCUGUAUGCAUUGUGCAUGCUAUUUUCCUUCUAAAGAUUAUUUGCUGUUAGUUAAGAAUCAUUACUGAUGGCUUUCAUUACCAUGGAGGAUCUCUCCACUUAAUCUCAGGACAUUGUAUUUAUGUUCAAAUUCAGUGUAGGGGGUGUGAAUAUUGAUUGAAAAGUCAUUUGUCCCAAUACCAGCAGGUCAGCUGUUUCCAGCCUUUUUCCAGCCUUAAACAGCUGCAUAAGAGACGGAGAGAUGAUAUCUAUUUCCGCAGCUUUCAUGAUUUAUUAAUCACCAAGUAGCUAGUCAAGCAGAUUCUUGGAUCUGUGCUGUUUCUUCCGGUCUGUUCAGCCUUUACUGUUUUUUGUUUCUUUUUUUUUGUCUGACAGGUCUCGUCCAACAAACUAGUAAUAGUGAUUAAAUUCGUGCCUAUUUUUGCCCAGUGAAGUAAAGUUUUGGGAACUCUGCUGUUGCCCCAAGGGACUCUGCAGAUGGACAGAGGAGUGCCAGAGAAGACAUGAGGGAUCCAUACUGGAGCUGACGUUGCUGGUUGCCCAGAUGUCGUUAUAGUAACCCUGGCUGUAGGCCUUUCUUGGCUCUUCUGUGUGUGGAAGCUGUCUCGUCCUGAGGGGGCCGAUGUACGACGCGUUCAAUGGAAAGAUGUCAGCUCCAUUCACAAAAACAGCAGGCUCGGGGAAUGGAAAAAGGCUGAAUCUCGUCCAACAUAUUGUACCUGCUGGAUUCUCCUGUUCCUCCCCUGAGUGUCAUGGGACACUCAGCUGUCAAAGAUGGAGCCAAAAUGGGUGUCAGCAGCAGCGGUGUCACGCAAGAUGGAUGGCAACAUGAUCACCCUUUAAGCUGCAGUUUGAAGAAGACAGGUGAGCAUCAGUAUGUUUAUUACCCCUGUGUCACGAGUCGUCAUCAGUCAGCCUGGCUGCCCAUCAUUGACUGGCUGGCUGCAUGAGACAGCAGGUCUCUGCUGCACUGCCAAACCUGCUGAAGUCCUUAUGCAAUUGUCAUCAGAAUUAUAUAAUUACCUAAUUUAAUCCCACUGCAUUCUAGGAAGAUGUGCUGUGGUGAUUUUUGAUUUUUUAUUUUUUUAAAUUCUAUGUCAGUUGUGGUGCAAGGCUUUAAAUCAGGCUGCAGAUGACAAUGCGGAAAUUAAUAGUAAUAUUCUGAUUCCUAAAAUACUGCGGCAUUCCCAGCCAGAGUGACCUUACUGUAUUAGAUCCCAGGCUUCAGCAGGCUGUUAAUUAUGACCUCGCUACGAGAAGAACAUGUUGUGUGACUUAUUUGCUUGUCAGAGGCAAGGUCAAAGCCACCACCGAGCACAUCCGUCUCGUAUUGGCUUUCAUUCCUCAGAGAAAAGUCUGCUGUCUGCAGGUUCUGUCCCACUUCCAGAAGUGUCGAGGCAAUAAGUCAUUCUGACUGAGGGGUCACAAUUCGUGAACGUCACUGCUACUGCAGCUUUAUUUUACUGUCAAGAUUAUUGCUCUGCUUUCUCGGAAGUAGCAGAGGAAUGGAGUAGCUGAUCGUAACACAGACGUCACAUCUGUCAGAUGGCUGUGUGAAACCUGCGUGUGCCUCAGUUCAGUGGUGCGCUGAGGUUUGCUAACCUCUUUUUAUGUUUGGCACUGCAGAUAGAGCAUUGUAACCACUUAACAAUUUCCUGAUGUUUUCCCAAAAUCUGCAGAGGACAAAUCACACGUAUUACGUAUUCAAGACUGCAUAACAAUCCCAGCUGCCUUUGACUUACUUCUACUUGAUAUCCUAUGACCUAAAUGCCUGAGAAUUGCUCCCUGACACAUGUUGUUUUCUGACCGCAUGGAUCUUCUGAUCUGUUGCAGUAGGCACAUGCAUGCCAAACAUGCACCUGCAGGAGAGGAGAUUUAAAUGAGUGAGUAACAGUUGGUGCAGACUUGCCUG